rnacentral:rRNA from 1 species
CCUUAACGACAGCCUACACAUGCUAGUCGAGCGGUAGCACAGAGAGCUUGCUCUCGGGUGACGAGCGGCGGACGGGUGAGUAAUGUCUGGGAAACUGCCUGAUGGAGGGGGAUAACUACUGGAAACGGUAGCUAAUACCGCAUAAUGUCGCAAGACCAAAGUGGGGGACCUUCGGGCCUCAUGCCAUCAGAUGUGCCCAGAUGGGAUUAGCUAGUAGGUGGGGUAACGGCUCACCUAGGCGACGAUCCCUAGCUGGUCUGAGAGGAUGACCAGCCACACUGGAACUGAGACACGGUCCAGACUCCUACGGGAGGCAGCAGUGGGGAAUAUUGCACAAUGGGCGCAAGCCUGAUGCAGCCAUGCCGCGUGUGUGAAGAAGGCCUUCGGGUUGUAAAGCACUUUCAGCGGGGAGGAAGGCGAUAAGGUUAAUAACCUUAUCGAUUGACGUUACCCGCAGAAGAAGCACCGGCUAACUCCGUGCCAGCAGCCGCGGUAAUACGGAGGGUGCAAGCGUUAAUCGGAAUUACUGGGCGUAAAGCGCACGCAGGCGGUCUGUCAAGUCGGAUGUGAAAUCCCCGGGCUCAACCUGGGAACUGCAUUCGAAACUGGCAUAUAUUCGUACCCCGUCCCCUUGGUGCGUAGUCUCCGGGAUCGACUAUAAGGAUUUAAUCAUACCUUCUCCAUACAUUUGGGCAUAUUACUGGAAAUCUGCUGUCUGCCGGGCCUUUCCAAAAUCAUGGGGAAAUCUGUCAUUCCGAAAACCUGGGUCAAGGCUAGAGUCUUGUAGAGGGGGGGGUAGAAUUUCUAGGUGUAGCGGUGAAAAUGCGUAGAGAUCUGGAGGAAUACCGGUGGCGAAGGCGGUUCCUCUGGACAAAGACUGACGCUCAGGUGCGAAAGCGUGGGGAGCAAACAGGAUUAGAUACCCUGGUAGUCCACGCCGUAAACGAUGUCGAUUUGGAGGUUGUGCCCUUGAGGCGUGGCUUCCGGAGCUAACGCGUUAAAUCGACCGCCUGGGGAGUACGGCCGCAAGGUUAAAACUCAAAUGAAUUGACGGGGGCCCGCACAAGCGGUGGAGCAUGUGGUUUAAUUCGAUGCAACGCGAAGAACCUUACCUGGUCUUGACAUCCACAGAACUUUCCAGAGAUGGAUUGGUGCCUUCGGGAACUGUGAGACAGGUGCUGCAUGGCUGUCGUCAGCUCGUGUUGUGAAAUGUUGGGUUAAGUCCCGCAACGAGCGCAACCCUUAUCCUUUGUUGCCAGCGGUUCGGCCGGGAACUCAAAGGAGACUGCCAGUGAUAAACUGGAGGAAGGUGGGGAUGACGUCAAGUCAUCAUGGCCCUUACGACCAGGGCUACACACGUGCUACAAUGGCAUAUACAAAGAGAAGCGACCUCGCGAGAGCAAGCGGACCUCAUAAAGUAUGUCGUAGUCCGGAUUGGAGUCUGCAACUCGACUCCAUGAAGUCGGAAUCGCUAGUAAUCGUAGAUCAGAAUGCUACGGUGAAUACGUU